rnacentral:rRNA from 1 species
GUGAUCCGCCACACAGGAACUGAGACACGGUCGAGACUCCUACGUGAUUCGGCGGUAGGGAAUCUUCAGCAAUGAACGUUUGCGGGACGACGCAACGCCGCGUGAGUGAUGAAGGUCUUCGGAUCGUUGAACUCUGUUAUUAGGGAAGAACAAAUGUGUAAGUAACUAUGCACGUCUUGACGGUACCUAAUCAGAAAGCCACGGCUAACUACGUGCCAGCAGCCGCGGUAAUACGUAGGUGGCAAGCGUUAUCCGGAAUUAUUGGGCGUAAAGCGCGCGUAGGCGGUGGGUUAAGUCUGAUGUGAAAUACCAGGGCUCAACCGUGGAGGGUCAUUGGAAACUGGAAAACUUGAGUGCAGAAGAGGAAAGUGGAAUUCCAUGUGUAGCGGUGAAAUGCGCAGAGAUAUGGAGGAACACCAGUGGCGAAG